rnacentral:rRNA from 1 species
GGUGUGUACUGGUCUUGAUGGAAGCUUACCUCUUGGUGGGUCGGCAUGCCCUUCGUUGGGUGUGUCGAUUAACCAGGACUUUUACUUUGAGAAAAUUAGAGUGUUCAAAGCAGGCUUUCGCCCGAAUACAUUAGCAUGGAAUAAUAGAAUAGGACGCGCGUCUUUAUUUUGUUGGUUUCUAAAUUCGCCGUAAUGAUUAAUAGGGAUAGUCGGGGGCAUUCGUAUUGCUUGGUCAGAGGUGAAAUUCUUGGAUUCUAGCAAGACGAACUACUGCGAAAGCAUUUGCCAAGGAUGUCUUCAUUGAUCAAGAACGAAGGUUAGGGGAUCGAAAACGAUCAGAUACCGUUGUAGUCUUAACAGUAAACUAUGCCGACUAGGGAUCGGACAAGCACAAUCUAUGACUUGUUCGGCACCUGAAGAGAAAUCUUUAAGUCUAGGUUCGGGGGGGAGUAUGGUCGCAAGGCUGAAACUUAAAGGAAUUGACGGAAGGGCACCACCAGGUGUGGAGCCUGCGGCUUAAUUUGACUCAACACGGGGAAACUCACCAGGUCCAGACACAAUAAGGAUUGACAGAUUGAUAGCUCUUUCUUGAUCUUGUGGUUGGUGGUGCAUGGCCGUUCUUAGUUGGUGGAGUGAUUUGUCUGGUUAAUUCCGAUAACGAACGAGACCUUAACCUGCUAAAUAGACCCGGGGCCUUAGGGAACCGGCUGUCUUCUUAGAGGGACUGUAGG